rnacentral:rRNA from 1 species
CAAUCCCGUACUUGACAUGACUACCGAUGUUCUGUGAUACAUUUUCUACGAGUCGAGUUGUUUGGGAAUGCAGCUCUAAAUGGGUGGUAAAUUCCAUCUAAAGCUAAAUAUUGGUGAGAGACCGAUAGCGAACAAGUACCGUGAGGGAAAGAUGAAAAGCACUUUGGAAAGAGAGUUAAACAGUACGUGAAAUUGUUGAAAGGGAAACGAUUGAAGUCAGUCAUGUCUGUUGGUUUCAGCUUGCCCUGCAAGUGUAUUACCUUCAGACGGGUCAACAUCAGUUUUGGUGCGGUGGAUAAGAGCGGAUUGAAGGUGGCACCCUCGGGUGUGUUAUAGCUUUCUGUUGCAUACACUGCCUGAGACUGAGGACUGCAGCUCGCCUUUAUGGCCGCCCCUCGGGGACGUUCGAGCUUAGGAUGUUGGCAUAAUGGCUUUAAACGACCCGUCUUGAACCACGGA